rnacentral:rRNA from 1 species
UACGGAGGGGGCAAGCGUUGUUCGGAAUUACUGGGCGUAAAGGGCGCGCAGGCGGCUGCUCAAGUCAGGCGUGAAAGGCCUGGGCUCAACCCGGGAAUUGCGCUUGAGACUGGGCUGGCUUGAGUGCGGGAGAGGAUGGUGGAAUUCCCAGUGUAGAGGUGAAAUGCGCAGAUAUCAGGAGGAACACCGGUGGCGAAGGCGGGUCUCUGGGCCGAUACUGACGCUGAGGAGCGAAAGCGUGGGGAGCGAACAGG